CAGAAUAUAGAAAAUAAUUUCAAAAAUGUAAGCUAACUAGUUAGAAAGGGUCAUACAUGGAAUUAUUUCAACCUCGCAAUCAGCUUUUCUAAAUGGGAGGCUUUUAAUAGAUGCUUUCAUUAUUACAAAUGAGCUAGUGACAUUGGGCACUAAGAUUAUUGUGGAGGGGAGCAGUGGUGAAAGUAGAUUUUAAAAAGGCGUAUGAUAAGGUCAGCUGGAAAUUCUCAAAAAGAAUAAUGUAAUGGUGGCGUUUCGAUAAGAAAUAGUGUAGGUGAAUAUGGGAAUGCAUUGGUAAUGCUAAAAUGACCGUACCGAGGGAUGCAAAUGGAUCCGGGUUGGUGGAGCUCCGCCCCGAUCUGCCCCGAAUCGGGUGGUAAGUGGGAACAAAAAAUAUAGAAAAAUAUAACCCGCCCGGAUCCGCCAAGUAAAUGGAGCGGGAGGCGGGAGACUCUUUUCUUCCUUCAAUCUACCCCGAUCCGUUAAAAAUCCGCUCCCGCCCCGCUCCCGCCCCGAUCCGCCCCGAAUGGAGCGGUAAGUG
rnacentral:lncRNA from 1 species